GUUCCUGCGAAACCUCAGAAGAAACCGGAGAACCUUGUGAACGUCCACACCUGGGAUUCGAACCUGCUCCCCAUGAGGAGACAGUGCUGACCGCUACACCAGCUCCAGCCUGUCUUUGUAGCCUCCAUGUUUGUUGCUUUUAUGCCAACAUCACGAUCUUUGCGCGUUCUCGUGGAUGCACAAACACAAGUCACGUGUUUGUGGAUCAACCGCCCCAGCUUCCACGCGCGCGCUGGAUGUGCGUUCAGAGCGCGCGGGGAAGCGGCUCGCGCCAGCCCUCGGUCCUCCGCGUCCCCGCCCUGGUCGCGGCUUCCCUCAUGGUCCUCCUGCGGCACAUCUCCACCGCGCUGAGCGCCGCCGUGGCCGCGCUCGGGUCCGCGCUCUUCAUGGCGCUCAGCUUCCUCUACACGCGGCGCGUGUGGUCCACGCACGCGGAGUACUGUCCGAUCUCUGAGGAGGAGGACGAGCGUGGGAAGCGUCAGGUUCUGGUUCUUGGUCUGGAUGGAGCCGGGAAAAGCAGCAUGCUGCGACGUCUGACCUCUGGAGACGCGGCGGCUCGGACCGGCCGGUGCCGACCCACCCGCGGCUUCAACUUCAUAAGUCUGAACAUCCCUGCUUUCCAGCUGGACUUUCUGGAGGUUGGCGGCGGCGAGGAUCUGCGCCGUUACUGGUUGGACUACUUGAGAAAGACUCACGUUCUGGUGUUUGUGGUGGACUCAUCUGACAGACCUCGCCUCCCGUUAGCUAAAGCUGAGCUUCACCGCCUCCUGGAGGAGGGGCCUCAGCUGCCAGUCGUCGUCCUGGGAAACAAGCAGGAUAAGGCUGAUGCGGUGAGCGGGGCGGAGCUUCACGAAGCCUUGGCCCUGCACUCUGUGGCUGCAGACAGAAAGCUCUUCCUCUUGACCUCCCAGCUGGACUCUGGAGCUGUGAGGAAGUCCUGUCAAGACCUGGACACCAUCCAGAACCUCCUGCUGCAGCUCCUCUGAACACCUGAGGAGGCGUCGCCUGAUGUCUGCAGCUGCCUCCAGUUGAGGCAGAGCGGGAAACCAUGAAGAGGAAGGAGAUGAAACGAGGCAGAAGUAGCCGUCGGCAGGCUUUAUCUUGACGUACCAGGACUCGGCGUGCAAACCCGUCCGGCCCUAUUUGGUUGAGUAUUUAUGGUGACGUCCGACUCAACUACAAGCGCGGUGACAGAGCGACGGGGUGGAGAUGGGCUCAGUUCAGGAUGGAUUUGAAGAUUCCAUGUGACAAAUUGUAAAUAAACUGUUCUCCUUAUUGAGCAUGUUCUAAAGUCUAUUUUGGCUCCCAGAUGAUCAGGAGUGGAGUAGGUGGGAAAGUUUUUUUUUUUUCCGUAAUCUCAUUUUCAGGUCCAAGUUUUAACUUUUUCAUCCUGGAAAAACCUGCACAGGUGAAAUCUGCAAAGUGGGAUUACAGGUGAUUUAAGGCUCACUGGACACACUCAUUUAUCUGACAGACAUGAACAUAGGAAAAGCAGUCCAGGAUAACGGAAUGAAAAUGAAGAUCUGCUCGCAAUCAAAGAGAAAAUGUGACUUUAGUAAACAGAAACAUUCUGUAGAAGAGACACGGCGCAGAUUGACAAAAGCACGCAAAACGGCCCUGAAACAAACCGCUGAGACCGAGAAAGGUGCUAAAAUCUCCUGCUAAAUCAUACAUUUUUUAACACUUUUUUUCCUGCACCACAAAGAGGAACAACUUCCGUUAUGGAGAGGAACAACUUCCACUUCCAGCAUGGGGCGGAGCUCCAGCCGCCAUGUUGUCUGUAGCUGGAGGCCUCUCUCGGUUUGGGCUCAUUAGGUAAAGUUUAAGCCCUAACAUGUAAAUCUAAUUUCUUUGAAAAUAAAACAAACAAAAAAUAUAAAGAAGCUUAAAAUCUUAUUUAAAACACACUUUAGUAUUCUAGAAAAUAAAAAAGGUUGCCAUGUUUAAGCCUGACUAUCCUAGACUGUAGAGAGAUGGACAUUGCUGACUGUAACAUCACCCAUAAAAAAUGGUUUUACGCAAUGUGGGCGUCGCCAUUUGGAGCCAGACGCCAGUGAUUGGUCCGAGUUGGUCUGAGUCAUGUUUUUAGAGGAAGUACUGUCACCAAUCAGGAGUGAGCUUGUU